AUGGAUAGUCUAACAGACUUUCUUUCAUUUUUCUACUUUAUUACAACCAUUCCUUUCUUUGGUCAUUGCAACGUAACACAACCAUCCUUCUGCUUUUUACUCUUCAUCUUCUCAUUCUCUCUCUCCCAAACCUUCAUUAUUCUGAAUUUUUUCCAAUACUAUUCUAUCAUCAGGAUAUUCUUCAUGUGA